CACAAAAAUCAGAAUCACAAAACUCCUAAUAAGGGAAGGCGUGGUUGGAGAAACUGGAAAGGUGUGACAGGAGCCGUGGAAUGGAAGGAAGCAAAAGACAGUGACAGGAAGCUAAGCAAGGGCAUUGGCUUGGCUUAAAGGUGAAUAGAAUUCAUGUGUAGCCCAGCAGUGAGAUUUUCCCUCCAUUCAUUCAAGAAGCUGCCCGGCAGUCCUACAUGGAUCUCAUUUCCCCUUUAUUGAGUGCCUUUGACCUUCACCUAGAAGAGGGGCCACAGAAGCAUGCACUCUGGGAUCUGGAAUCAGAAUGGUCUGGGCCUCUCCAAAGGGGCAAUUUGGACAGAGACAGACAUGAAUACAUAGAGAACCCCAUAUGAACACGAAGACAGAGAUCCAGUGAUAUACCUACAAGCCACAGAAUGCCAAAGAUAGCCAGGAAAGCUAGCAGAGAUGCAAGGAAGUCAUUCUUCCUUGGAGCCCUGGAAAGGAACCAACACUGCCAACACCUUGAUCCUGGACAUCUGGUCUCCUGAACUGUGAGCGUAUACAUUUCCAUUGUUUAAGUACUUUGUCACGACAGCCCUAGCAAAAUAAUAGACAUGAUUAUCUCAACCAUGAUUAUACUGAAAAAUAUUUUGAUCAUAUUGAAUAUUAUGUUGAAGUCUCACAAAUUCCCAGCCCUAAAUACAAACAAA
rnacentral:lncRNA from 1 species